GACGAACGCUGGCGGCGUGCUUAACACAUGCAAGUCGAACGGAAAGGCCCUGCUUUUGUGGGGUGCUCGAGUGGCGAACGGGUGAGUAACACGUGAGUAACCUGCCCUUGACUUUGGGAUAACUUCAGGAAACUGGGGCUAAUACCGGAUAGGAGCUCCUGCUGCAUGGUGGGGGUUGGAAAGUUUCGGCGGUUGGGGAUGGACUCGCGGCUUAUCAGCUUGUUGGUGGGGUAGUGGCUUACCAAGGCUUUGACGGGUAGCCGGCCUGAGAGGGUGACCGGCAAUAUGGGGAUUGAGAUGCGCCCCAGCCUCCUGGGGGGGGAAGGGGGGGGAAAUAUUGCACAAGGGGCGGAGGCUUGAGGCACCACCCCCGGGGGGGGAAUGCGGCCUUUGGGUUUGAAACCCGUUUCCGCUUGUGAGGAGGGGGGGGUGAGGGAAAGGGUAAAAGAAACACCGCCUAACUACUU
rnacentral:rRNA from 1 species